rnacentral:rRNA from 1 species
UACGUAGGUGGCAAGCGUUGUCCGGAUUUACUGGGCGUAAAGAGCGCGCAGGCGGUCGUUCAAGUCGCGUGUGAAAGCCCCCGGCUCAACUGGGGAGGGUCACGCGAUACUGAUCGACUUGAAGGCAGGAGAGGGAAGCGGAAUUCCCGGUGUAGUGGUGAAAUGCGUAGAUAUCGGGAGGAACACCAGUGGCGAAGGCGGCUUCCUGGCCUGUUCUUGACGCUGAGGCGCGAAAGCUAGGGGAGCAAACAGG